rnacentral:misc_RNA from 1 species
AACGCACCUUGCGCCCCUUGGCAUUCCGAGGGGCAUGCCCGUUUGAGUGCCGUGAUCAUUCUCGACUCCCAAGCUUUCGUUUGGGGCGUUGGACUUGGACGCUGCCGGUCGCGCCGGCUCGUCUCAAAUGCAUCAGUGGGUUCUCGACUCCCGACCGCACUGGCGUGAUGGGUCCCAAGGACGAAACGUCGGUUCGGUCCGGUCGCGACUCGCUCAAAACCCGUCCUCACCGGGACAACCGACCCGGUCGGUUUGGGCUCUUUGGAGUCCCGUGGUGUAUGGCCUCAAAUCGGGUAGGACUACCCGCUGAACUUAA